GUGUGUAUAGCUCAGUGGUAGAGGACGUGCUUAGCAUGCACAAGGUCCUAGGUUUAAUCCCCAGUACCUCCA
rnacentral:tRNA from 1 species